rnacentral:rRNA from 1 species
UACAGAGGUCUCGAGCGUUGUUCGGAUUCACUGGGCGUAAAGGGCGCGUAGGCGGCUAGGUAAGUCGGAUGUGAAAUCCCGGGGCUCAACCCCGGAACUGCAUUCGAUACUGCCUGGCUAGAGUACUGGAGAGGAGAUUGGAAUUUACGGUGUAGCAGUGAAAUGCGUAGAUAUCGUAAGGAAGACCAGUGGCGAAGGCGGAUGUCUGGACAGUUACUGACACUGAGGCACGAAGGCCAGGGGAGCAAACGGG